AUUGAACGCUGGCGGCAGGCCUAACACAUGCAAGUCGAGCGGAUGAAGGGAGCUUGCUCCUGGAUUCAGCGGCGGACGGGUGAGUAAUGCCUAGGAAUCUGCCUGGUAGUGGGGGAUAACGUCCGGAAACGGGCGCUAAUACCGCAUACGUCCUGAGGGAGAAAGUGGGGGAUCUUCGGACCUCACGCUAUCAGAUGAGCCUAGGUCGGAUUAGCUAGUUGGCGGGGUAAAGGCCUACCAAGGCGACGAUCCGUAACUGGUCUGAGAGGAUGAUCAGUCACACUGGAACUGAGACACGGUCCAGACUCCUACGGGAGGCAGCAGUGGGGAAUAUUGGACAAUGGGCGAAAGCCUGAUCCAGCCAUGCCGCGUGUGUGAAGAAGGUUUUCGGAUUGUAAAGCACUUUAAGUUGGGAGGAAGGGCAGUAAGUUAAUACCUUGCUGUUUUGACGUUACCAACAGAAUAAGCACCGGCUAACUUCGUG
rnacentral:rRNA from 1 species